UACGUAGGUGGCAAGCGUUGUCCGGAUUUACUGGGUGUAAAGGGCGUGCAGCCGGAGAGACAAGUCAGAUGUGAAAUCCACGGGCUCAACCCGUGAACUGCAUUUGAGACUGUUUCCCUUGAGUGUCGGAGAGGUAAUCGGAAUUCCUUGUGUAGCGGUGAAAUGCGUAGAUAUAGGGAAGAACACCAGUGGCGAAGGCGGAUUACUGGACGAUAACUGACGGUGAGGCGCGAAAGCGUGGGGAGCAAACAGG
rnacentral:rRNA from 1 species